GACGAACGCUGGCGGCGUGCUUAACACAUGCAAGUCGAACGGAAACGCACUGCUUUUUUGGUGUGCUCGAUUGGCGAACGGGUGCGUAACACGUGAGUAACCUGCCCUUGAUUUUGGUAUAACUUCAGUAACCUGGACUUAAUCUCAUAUCGGAUCUCAUGCUCGAUUGUAGGGGUUGGAUCGUUUCGGCGGUUGGGGAUGGAUUGGCGGCUUUUGAGUUUGUUGGUUGGGUAGUGGCUUACCAAGGCUUGGAAGGGUAGCCGGCCUGGGAAGGUUGCCGGCGACAUUGGGACUGAGAUACGGCGCAGAGGCCUACGGGAGACAGUAGUGGGGAAUAUUGCACAAUGGGCGGAAGCCUGAUGCAGCAACGCUGCGGGCGUGAAGACGUUCUGCGGGUAAUAAACAGCUUCCGCCUGUGACGAAGCGUGUGUGACGGUAAUGGGUAAAGAAGCACCGGCUAACUACGUG
rnacentral:rRNA from 1 species